AGAGUUUGAAUCCUGGCUCAGGACGAACGCUGGCGGCGUGCCUAACACAUGCAAGUCGAGCGGAACUGUUUGAGUUUACUUAAACAGUUUAGCGGCGGACGGGUGAGUAACGCGUGAGUAACCUGCCUUAUACAGAGGGAUAGCCUUGAGAAAUCGGGAUUAAUACCUCAUAACAUAUUUUCAUCACAUGGUGAGAAUAUCAAAACUCCGGUGGUAUAAGAUGGACUCGCGUCCCAUUAGCUAGUUGGUAGAGUAAUGGUCUACCAAGGCGACGAUGGGUAGCCGGCCUGAGAGGGUGAACGGCCACACUGGAACUGAGACACGGUCCAGACUCCUACGGGAGGCAGCAGUGGGGAAUAUUGCACAAUGGGGGAAACCCUGAUGCAGCGACGCCGCGUGAGCGAAGAAGGUUUUCGGAUCGUAAAGCUCUGUCCUUGGAGAAGAUAAUGACGGUAUCCAAGGAGAAGCCCCGCUAACUA
rnacentral:rRNA from 1 species